UGACAAAUUUCCUUGUCUCAUCCAGUGUGGGACUUUUAACAUACACCUUUACGUUUCUAAUUUUAUUUUAUGUGCAUUAUUAACAGGAUGACGUACCCAAGGAUAUUAGAGAAGAUGAUGACAUAGAAGAUUGGGUAGACUCAGAUGUUGUUCCAGAAUGUCUUUCAUUACACCUUAGAACUUGCAAUCUUUUCAAGUUAUCGGGCCUACAAGACGAGCUUAUGCUAGCAAGGUAUGUUUUGAAGAAUGCAAGAGUUUUACAAACCAUGAAAAUCUGGAACAAUGGACAGCUUGAAAUAAAAAGAAUAUUAUUCUCAGCCCCAAAGGCCUCUUCAGUGUGUAAACUUAUGGUUUAUAACGAUUAAUGAUCCAUCAGUUCACACACGGGUGGGACACAUUGUUUUGGAGAGAUCCAUGGGUUGGUGAGGGUGUAGUACUAAAAGAUAUGUAUGAGAUUAUUUAUCAUCACAUCUGAAGAAGAGGUCAAAGUAGUGGAUAUGUGUUGGGAAAGAGAGGGUAGGGUGGAAAGAAGUUGUAAUUGGAACUGGAGAAAGGAACUUUUUCAUUCGGAGAAUGAGUUCAUAGUUUCAUGCCAGAGAGUGAUAAAAGACGGUUUCAAGGGGGCUAGAUGUGAUAAAUGGAGCUGGAAUGAUGUUGGUGGAGGAGUAUAAUCUGUGAGAGUAGCGUAUAAGGUGUUAACAGGGGGAACCACACAACCACAACCAUUUUGGAAUGAAGUAUGUUUGGAACAGACUUGUUGUUUCAAAACAGGUUACCAACAAAAGACAAUCUAGCAAAGAGGGGUCCAUUCUGUGAGCAAUGAACUUGUGUGUUUGUAGGAGUGCGGAUGUUGAAAGUAAUGCACAUCUAUUUUUUUAAUGUUCUAAAUUCUCAACAGUUUGGAUGGAGCUACUGCAUUGGCUGGGAAUUGAGUCUGCACUGUCAAAUGAUAAAAUAGUUUGUAGGAUUGGUAAAUGGCGCGCAAUAGUUGAUGAAUUUGUGAUUUGCAAGUGCAUGGACAAUAUGCAAGGCAAGAAAUAAUGUGAUUUUUAGAAAUCAAGAGGCGGACGUUGAGAGGCUUGUGUAAAAGGUAAAGCUGAUGGUGUGGUGAUUGUUCAAUGUCAAAAUUUAGCGAUUUGAAUAUGAUAUGAUAUAAGACAGAGGUGAAAGAAGGCACGAGCAUUCACUUUGAUUUAGGUUUCACAUGCAAGGAUAAUAUUUGGGUGUUUAGAUGUUGAGCUUGAACAGCUGUGGCAUAGAGAAGAAGCACAUAUGUAAGAGCUGUUUGGAAAAGGAAAUAAAGAAAAGAAGGUGCAUAUUAAGUAUGAACGCAGGUGAAUAGAGGGCAGUGGAGUGGCAAUAUGCAGACCUGUCAUGAAGGAGCAGUGGCAUCGGAAUACGAGGUUUCAUUAAAGAAUGGCAGGGGUUAAGAGAUUUAUCGACGUGUAGUACAACGGUGAGAAGGGACUAAGCUAGAUUUAUAUAAAUGGAGGAGUUCAGGAGGGUGUGACCUGUGAACUGUACUGAUGUGGCAACACAUGUUUUGGUGGACCUGAAAAUGUUGAUUGUUCAAAUGCAUGUAGUACACUACCCAAUUAAAAAAAAAAAAAAACUUUCACAAGAUGUUGUCUUGUGUAACCUUUGAUUGAUGAACAAUGAACUUGCACAUUUUACACAGUUUCUACAUGAAAAUAACUAGUGUUGUUGUGUGUAUGUUGGCAAUACUGUCAAUAGAAGCUAUCCUGAAUAAGAAGUAUAUUCACCUUCCAAUAAUGAGUUAAGAAGUAUAUAUAUUGUGGUUGGAUUACUGUAUAUGACUAAAAUUCUUUUUUGCCUUUUCAAAAAGAGGGAUCCUUUGUGCAGAAAUCUUUUGUCCAUAUCUUGUAAAGGUUUAAUAAUAAAGUUCUAUUUUUUUUAUUCUUCUA